GAUGAACGCUGGCGGCGUGCCUAAUACAUGCAAGUCGAGCGAAUGGAUUAGGAGCUUGCUCUUAUGAAGUUAGCGGCGGACGGGUGAGUAACACGUGGGUAACCUGCCCAUAAGACUGGGAUAACUCCGGGAAACCGGGGCUAAUACCGGAUAAUAUUUUGAACUGCAUGGUUCAAAAUUGAAAGGCGGCUUCGGCUGUCACUUAUGGAUGGACCCGCGUCGCAUUAGCUAGUUGGUGAGGUAACGGCUCACCAAGGCAACGAUGCGUAGCCGACCUGAGAGGGUGAUCGGCCACACUGGGACUGAGACCCGGCCCAGACUCCUACGGGAGGCAGCAGUAGGGAAUCUUCCGCAAUGGACGAAAGUCUGACGGAGCAACGCCGCGUGAGUGAUGAAGGCUUUCGGGUCGUAAAACUCUGUUGUUAGGGAAGAACAAGUGCUAGUUGAAUAAGCUGGCACCUUGACGGUACCUAACCAGAAAGCCACGGCUAACUACGUGCCAGCAGCCGCCGCAG
rnacentral:rRNA from 1 species